rnacentral:lncRNA from 1 species
CCAACAACAAAGGGUUUAGUUAACCAUAGACAUGGUGAAACUAGAUGGAAUUAAUUGAAAAGAUUAAAGAGUAAACCAUAGAAUUGAUAAAUUGGAGCCUUAGCAUCCAAGAAACCGCCUCCAAGGAGUGUAGAAGGUGCUCUGAAGUCUUCCUCUGCCAAAAGAUUACCCUAAGGGUCGCACUGGAUCUAUUUAUAACGUAGAAAAGUAACAGAAUUUCAGCCCAGGCCCAUCAUUUAGGCGCUCAACACUCAUUUGACCGCUCAACGGUAGCCCCCACAAUCGCCGGACGCUUAGCGAUGGAUCAUGGCGCUCAGCGUCGGGUUUCAGAAUCGCAGGACACUAAGCGUCAACGCUCAGGCGUGAAAUAGUGGCUUCCUCCAAGAAGAUGGCGCUCAGCGCUGGAAUUGGAACUGAGCGGUGGACCUUACUCUUAUUUUGUUUCUUUUCUCAUCCUUUCUUGAGUCUAAGUCCUCCCCUCUUUAAUUCCAUCCUUCAAUUCUCAUCAAAUCCUG